GGCAGCUCCACAGCAGAAGAGGUGCCAAGCCAGCCAGAAAAGAAAAGGAAAAAUGUGAACAAAUCAUGGAAGUAGGUCACCUGCUUGCUGGACAUUGUCACAAUUGUGCUGCUGUGUGCUUACUGUACAGUGCUCAAGCAGAGCCCAGGAUGUCUGGAAGCAAGAGGAAAAGCAUUGCUGAUGUGGAGGGGAUGACUAGGGAGUGAAAAGCAAUAUACAUUUUAUAUUUGUGUCAAAGGGAGAUGGAAAAAUGGAACAAUAACUGGAGGACGAUUUAGGAUCAAAGAAAUAUUAUUUCUUCUGCACAUGAUUUAAUGCUGAUACAAAUGUAGAAAAGAAAAAAGUCUGAUGGAGGAAAUUGAGCAAAUAAUUGUAAUAAUAAUAAGC
ensembl:lncRNA